CCUACGGGUGGCUGCAGUGAGGAAUAUUGGUCAAUGGACGAGAGUCUGAACCAGCCAAGUAGCGUGAAGGAUGACUGCCCUAUGGGUUGUAAACUUCUUUUAUAUGGGAAUAAAAUGUUCCACGUGUGGGAUUUUGUAUGUACCCUAUGAAUAAGGAUCGGCUAACUCCGUGCCAGCAGCCGCGGUAAUACGGAGGAUCCGAGCGUUAUCCGGAUUUAUUGGGUUUAAAGGGAGCGUAGGUGGAUUGUUAAGUCAGUUGUGAAAGUUUGCGGCUCAACCGUAAAAUUGCAGUUGAGACUGGCAGUCUUGAGUACAGUAGAGGUGGGCGGAAUUCGUGGUGUAGCGGUGAAAUGCUUAGAUAUCACGAAGAACUCCGAGUGCGAAGGCAGUUCACUGGACUGCAACUGACGCUGAGGCUCGAAAGUGUGGGUAUCAAACAGGAUUAGAUACCCGGGUAGUC
rnacentral:rRNA from 1 species